GGGCAAUUGGCACAGUGGUAGCGCGCACGCUUCGCAUGUGUCUUGCGAUUAUCGCUUGAGUCUGCGUGAGGUCCAGGGUUCAAUCCCCUGAUUGUCCA